rnacentral:misc_RNA from 1 species
UUCAGAUUUUCAAUGAGAUAAAAAUGAUGAAUAUGAUGGAAGACUCCCAGCAUGAAGUAGGACUAGGAGGAGUUAAAUCUGAACCUAUCGAGGUUGAUCAUCAAGUGGAGGAUACGGUUGGAGUUAGCACAGAGACUAUCAAGAUAAUAGCAGAUACACUUGGUAUGCCUGGCCUGCCUGAGGAUGCAUGCCGGGAGUUGAGUGAAGAGGUGACCUACAGGCUACGAAUGCUGACGCAGAACGCGCAGAAGUUUAUGAACCACGGACGCAGAACCAAAAUGUUUUGUGAUGAUAUUGAUCAUGCACUUAAACUUCAAGGACAAGAACCUCUUUAUGGAUUUCAGGCGCAAGAGCACAUACCUUUCCGGUUUUCCAGCGGGGGAGGUCGUGACCUCCAUUUUCUGGAGGACAAGGAGAUCGACCUCAACGAGCUUGUAAACAACCAACUUCCUAAAAUUCCAAUGGCGCCUAGUCUCCGAGCUCAUUGGUUAGCCAUUGAUGGAAUCCAACCUGCGAUCCCAGAAAAUCCUCCACCACAGAGUAAAGAUCAGCUGAUCACGGACUCCGUCGAUCCUGCCGCCAAACUCAAGAGCGGAGACGCCAAGGAUAAUAAACUAGGAGCUGUCCUAGGGCAGGCUAAGAUGAAGACUGUAGAGACGGUGAACGUGAAGCAGUUGGCCAGCCAUGAACUCAGUGUAGAACAACAGCUUUACUUCAAGGAGAUUACCGAGGCCUGUGUUGGAUCUGACGAACCCCGACGCGCCGAGGCGUUACAGUCUCUUGCCUGUGAUCCUGGUUUACAUCAGAUGCUACCAAGAUUAGCUACGUUUAUCGCUGAGGGUGUUCGAGUGAACGUUGUACAGCAUAACCUCGCUAUCCUGAUCUACCUUAUGCGUAUGGUGAAAUCAUUACUAGAGAACCAAACAUUGUACCUGGAGAAGUACCUUCAUGAACUGAUACCUGCUGUAGCAACCUGUAUAGUUUCUAGACAGCUCUGUUCUAGACCAGACCAUGAUAAUCAUUGGGCGCUCAGAGAUUUCGCGAGCAGAAUGAUGGCAGCCAUUUGCAAAAAUUUUCAUACUUCAACGAACAAUAUUCAAACUAGGGUUACCAAGAUGUUUAGUGACGCGCUCAAAUCUGAGCGCGCACCCCUUGUAUCCUACUACGGAGCUAUUGCUGGUCUUCAGGAGUUGGGACCCGACGUGAUCAAGGUCUUCAUCCUCCCUUACAUCAGCAUCCUCGCAGCUAAAAUCGACGCUGCCCUGGACUCCAACAACAGCAACCUUGCCACCUCCAGUGUAGAGAAGAUCGCUGCUCAGAAUAUUAGAACUCUAUUGGUGAAGUCCGUAAGUCCAGUGUUAAAAAGUUUACGUGACCCCCCGGACUAUAUUGAGGACUACAGGCUCGAGUUCGGGUCCCUGGGACAACCUCUGCAUACAGGGGUAGAACGAGCUCGAAAACAAUCUGGGAAUAAAUCUAGCGGAUUGGCCAGUACACCUGCCCGCCUACCUAGCCUAACCACGCCCACUGCCCGCCCACCUCAACCCUCAAAUGCAAGCCAACAAAAGGUGUUUAUUGUAAACCAACAGCAACAGCAAGGACAGCCAAGUCAACAACUACAACAAGUUCAGCAACUUCAAGUUCAACAGCUACAAGGAAUUCAGUCCCCUCAGGUUAGAACGGUUGUACUCCAGGACGGAAACCAGACUCCGCAUAGACCUAACCCAACCCAGCAGAUCGGAGUCAGAUCCGUCUUCCAACAAAACCCAUUCCCUUGAAGUACUUGAGUUAAACCUGGAGUACUAAGGUUUAAUUGUACAUAUACUUGUACAUAGAUUAUAAUAUUAUAGUGUAGAUCUAAGAAGAGGAAUUCAAGUUUGUCUACAUUUUAUUGUGAGUUGAAAAGUGACAAACCUUAUCCCCCUUUCCUUAGUUCUAAACCUCCUUGGAUUUAAUUAAUUGUACGAUACAUUGUAACUUGGUAUAGUAAAUAAUGCAUAAAAUAUCAAGGCCUUAUUCUCAAUAUUGACAGGGGUGUAUAUUUUCCUAAAAAAUCAUUUCCCCUAAUUUUUAAAGCACCACACAAAUCCAUUCGAUACACAUAGGAGCCUUCUGAAAUGAUGCAGUAUUUUUAAUAUUAUAUAUAAUACAUGUUUUAUGUUAACAUUAUUAUUUAUUUGUGUUAUUUCGUAAUAAUGAUCGUAGCUGAAAAUAUUUAAUAAUUCUGAUUUGUUUUUGUGUUA